GACGAACGCUGGCGGCGUGCUUAACACAUGCAAGUCGAACGAUGAAGAAAAGAAUUGAAGCUUCGGCAGAAAUUCAUUUCGGAUUAGUGGCAGACGGGUGAGUAACGCGUGAGCAACCUACCUCUUACAAAGGGAUAGCCUCGGGAAACCGGGAUUAAUACCAUAUAACAUUGCGACGAAGCAUUUCGAUGCAAUCAAAGCUACGGCGGUAAGAGAUGGGCUCGCGUCCCAUUAACCAGAUGGUGAGGUAACGGCUCACCAUAGUAACGAUGGGUAACCGGACUGAGAGGGUGAACGGUCACACUGGAACUGAGACACGGUCCAGACUCCUACGGGAGGCAGCAGUGGGGAAUAUUGCACAAUGGAGGGAACUCUGAUGCAGCGACGCCGCGUGAGUGAUGAAGGAAUUCGUUUCGUAAAACUCUGUUCUAUGGGAAGAAAAGGACUGUACCAUAGGAGAAAGCGCCGGCUAAAUACGUG
rnacentral:rRNA from 1 species